CACUGUUGCCGGUCUCAGCUCCUCAGUAAGCCACAGUCAUAUUAGUUGUUCUUCAAAGAGGAUAAAGAAAAUAGGCCUGUGAGUAUGGUUUUAUUGUCAUAUCCAAUGUUUCUGUUCAUAUAGCCUCUGGUUUAAGGGUUAUGUACGUAACUCGGAAAAACGUCAAAGUCUGAUCACUUGUCUCUCGAGGCUCCACUGUAUUGAAUUUAUUUCAAUUGAACGUUAGAAUGACGAAGGCGUCCUUGGAAAUAUUUCUGCCCAAACGCAAAACGUUUGAAAACUCUCUGGUGUACGUCAGACAGCAGCUAACCUGUUUGUCCAGAGCCACGUAGCUGUCGUGGUCCACCUGGUGCUCGGAGUAAGUCUUGCAAGAACCUUUACAGGAACGCAACUUGAUGUCGAUGUCCACCUGGAGGGAGAAGAACAGGACCUUAAGGAACUUCUUCUUUUGAUUUUCCCUCAACAUGGCAACAGAAGACUCGCCUCCAGAUUCUGCAUGUCGGCCACCUGAUCCGUCACCCGGUCGCGGAGGGCGGCCAGGAUCCGCAGCUGCCUGUCGAUCUUCACCUUCAUGUCGGAGAUCCUCUGGCGAAGGCUCUGCGCCAAGUUGUAGUAGCGGUCCUCUUGACCUGCGGAAGGAACAUUAACGCGUCAUCCUCGAGUCACACUCGUGAAGGGCGGGAGUCGGAAUAACCGCGGGGACCAACCGGAGUUCAGGAUGAGCUUCUCCUUCAGGCUGUGAUCUUGGUGGUCCAUCAGACCUUGGAUCCUGCAGCCAGACGGGCACUUGGGACCCUGGCGGCAGAGCGCGGCGGCGGCGCACACGAGGACGAGGAAGGCCACCGAACUAGGUCGUUGCAUCUCGUCGAAUGUUCCAAAGUUCCAGGAGUUUGCUGCUUUUGAAGACGCCCCCUGACGCUCGUGACUCAGUCAAGGUUGAGCAAACCGUGGAGAGGGUGACGACCUUUUGUGUGGCUGCACUUUGUACACAAACAUGGACGUGCACACUAAGUGUGGAGAGGAGCACGUUGCAUCACUGCGCGAGGGAGAGGAGAGCAGCUUCACAUUGCGGAGGCGGGGCCUGCGUGCAAGGACGAGGACGAUGACGGAGGAGGGAGAUCAAAUCCAAGUGAGCAGGCGGGAGGUGGCAAAAGGCAUAAUAACAUAACAUAACUUCAAACUCAUCAAUAAUACGUACAUGAGGUGAAAGUACAAAAUAACUGCAGUUGGCUGGCGACCGGCCCGGGGUGUCUCCCGCCUCGCGCCCAA